rnacentral:rRNA from 1 species
UCAAUCUCGUGCGGCUAGAAGCCGCCUGUCCCUCUAAGAAGAAUUGUUUGUACGCCGACAGUAAAAACCGCGCACAACAUGAAGCCGAAGCAACACGCUGGCGGGCCUUUGGGAUGUCGAAAUACGCCUAGUUAGCAGGCUAGAGUCUCGUUCGUUAU